rnacentral:rRNA from 1 species
GACGAACGCUGGCGGCGUGCCUAACACAUGCAAGUCGAGCGAGCGGCGGCCGGGUGAGUAAUGUAUGGGGACUGCCCGAUAGAGGGGGAUAACUACUGGAAAAGGUGGCUAAUACCGCAUACUAGCGGAUGACCCAUAUGGGAUUAGCUAGUAGGUGGGGUAAAGGCUCACCUAGGCCACGAUCUCUAGCUGGUCUGAGAGGAUGAUCAGCCACCCUGGGACAGAGACACGGCCCAGACGCCUACGGAGGCAGCAGUGGGGAAUAUGGCAAAAUGGGCGCAAGCCUGAUGCAGCCAUGCCGCGUGUAUGAAGAAGGCCUUAGGGUUGUAAAGUACUUUCAGCGGGGAGGCGGUACCCGCAGAAGAAGCACCGGCUAACUCCGUGCCAGCAGCCGCGGUAAUAC